GCCUUCGUGAUGUAGUGGUCAGCACGCUCGACGCGUAACCGAGAGGUCCGUGGUUCGAUUCCUGGGGAAGGCG
rnacentral:tRNA from 1 species